GCCUAGCCCAGAUGAAAAUGGAAAGCCACGAGAAGCAAAACUACAUUUUUUCAUGGGUUUAAAAAGCGACCAACGGAAGCUCUUUUAAAACCUUAGAAAAAAGUGGUUCUGCUCGAGUGCUUGUAAUGGACAGCUGGAAAUUGC
rnacentral:misc_RNA from 1 species